rnacentral:rRNA from 1 species
GGACGGGUGAGUAAUGUCUGGGAAACUGCCCGAUGGAGGGGGAUAACUACUGGAAACGGUAGCUAAUACCGCAUAACGUCGCAAGACCAAAGUGGGGGACCUUCGGGCCUCACACCAUCGGAUGUGCCCAGAUGGGAUUAGCUAGUAGGUGGGGUAAUGGCUCACCUAGGCGACGAUCCCUAGCUGGUCUGAGAGGAUGACCAGCCACACUGGAACUGAGACACGGUCCAGACUCCUACGGGAGGCAGCAGUGGGGAAUAUUGCACAAUGGGCGCAAGCCUGAUGCAGCCAUGCCGCGUGUAUGAAGAAGGCCUUCGGGUUGUAAAGUACUUUCAGCGGGGAGGAAGGCGGUGAGGUUAAUAACCUCGCCGAUUGACGUUACCCGCAGAAGAAGCACCGGCUAACUCCGUGCCAGCAGCCGCGGUAAUACGGAGGGUGCAAGCGUUAAUCGGAAUUACUGGGCGUAAAGCGCACGCAGGCGGUCUGUUAAGUCAGAUGUGAAAUCCCCGGGCUUAACCUGGGAACUGCAUUUGAAACUGGCAGGCUUGAGUCUCGUAGAGGGGGGUAGAAUUCCAGGUGUAGCGGUGAAAUGCGUAGAGAUCUGGAGGAAUACCGGUGGCGAAGGCGGCCCCCUGGACGAAGACUGACGCUCAGGUGCGAAAGCGUGGGGAGCAAACAGGAUUACAUACCCUGGUAGUCCACGCCGUAAACGAUGUCGACUUGGAGGUUGUGCCCUUGAGGCGUGGCUUCCGGAGCUAACGCGUUAAGUCGACCGCCUGGGGAGUACGGCCGCAAGGUUAAAACUCAAAUGAAUUGACGGGGGCCCGCACAAGCGGUGGAGCAUGUGGUUUAAUUCGAUGCAACGCGAAGAACCUUACCUGGCCUUGACAUCCAGAGAACUUAGCAGAGAUGCUUUGGUGCCUUCGGGAACUCUGAGACAGGUGCUGCAUGGCUGUCGUCAGCUCGUGUUGUGAAAUGUUGGGUUAAGUCCCGCAACGAGCGCAACCCUUAUCCUUUGUUGCCAGCGGUUCGGCCGGGAACUCAAAGGAGACUGCCGGUGAUAAACCGGAGGAAGGUGGGGAUGACGUCAAGUCAUCAUGGCCCUUACGGCCAGGGCUACACACGUGCUACAAUGGCGCAUACAAAGAGAAGCGACCUCG